ACGAUGAUAGCUCGUUGUCGGCGAUACACAGUCGGUGACUUAGAGAAAUCGAUAAGCUAUCCACCUGGGGAGUACGUUCGCAAGAAUGAAACUCAAAGGAAUUGACGGGGGCCCGCACAAGCGGAGGAACAUGUGGUUUAAUUCGAUGAUACGCGAGGAACCUUACCCGGGCUUGAAAGUUAGUGACGGAUCAGGAAACUGAUCUUCCCUUCGGGGCACGAAACUAGGUGCUGCAUGGUUGUCGUCAGCUCGUGCCGUGAGGUGUCGGGUUAAGUCCCAUAACGAGCGCAACCCCUGCUGAUAGUUGCCAUCAGGUUAAGCUGGGCACUCUAUCGGGACUGCCUCUGUAAGGAGGAGGAGGGUGGGGAUGACGACAAAUCAGCACGGCCCUUACGUCCGGGGCGACACACGUGUUACAAUGGUAGGUACAGAGGGCAGCCACCCAGCGAUGGGGAGCAAAUCUCGAAAGCCUAUCUCAGUUCGGAUUGGAGGCUGAAACUCGCCUCCAUGAAGUUGGAUUCGCUAGUAAUCGCGCAUCAGCCUGGCGCGGA
rnacentral:rRNA from 1 species